rnacentral:rRNA from 1 species
UACGUAUGGGGCGAGCGUUGUCCGGAAUUAUUGGGCGUAAAGGGUACGUAGGCGGUUUUGUGGGUACACAUUAAAAGGCAGUGGCUCAACCAAUGUUCGGUGUAGAAACUAUAAAACUUGAGUAGAUGAGGGGCGAGUGGAAUUCCUAGUGUAGCAGUGAAAUGCUUAGAUAUGAGGAGGAAUACCAAUGGCGAAGGCGA